rnacentral:tRNA from 1 species
AGUUAAUUAAGCUUUAGAAUAGCGUAUACUUUGAAAGUAUAAGAUAAUGGUUAGAUUCCAUUAUUAACUU